UCGCAUAGCCUGGAAAUAGGUGUCUGUUCUAUUCAGAUCAGACUUAAAAGGGAAGCCGGUGCAAAUCCGGGACGGUCCCGCCACUGUAAACGGGGAAUGUUCAGCUACUCAUACACCCACUGGUCCAAAGACCGGGAAGGGAUGCUGAACGUCAUGAUCCGCAAGUCAGGAGACCUGCCUAUUUUAACAACAUCGCA
rnacentral:ncRNA from 19 species